UGGGGAAUUUUGGACAAUGGGCGCAAGCCUGAUCCAGCCAUGCCGCGUGCGUGAAGAAGGCCUUCGGGUUGUAAACCGCUUUUGUCAGGGAAGAAAUCUUCUGAGUUAAUACCUCGGGAGGAUGACGGUACCUGAAGAAUAAGCACCGGCUAACUACGUGCCAGCAGCCGCGGUAAUACGUAGGGUGCAAGCGUUAAUCGGAAUUACUGGGCGUAAAGCGUGCGCAGGCGGUUUUGUAAGACAGAGGUGAAAUCCCCGGGCUCAACCUGGGAACUGCCUUUGUGACUGCAAGGCUUGAGUGCGGCAGAGGGGGAUGGAAUUCCGCGUGUAGCAGUGAAAUGCGUAGAUAUGCGGAGGAACACCGAUGGCGAAGGCAAUCCCCUGGGCCUGCACUGACGCUCAUGCACGAAAGCGUGGGGAGCAAACAGGAUUAGAUAGCCCUGGUAGUCCACGCCCUAAACGAUGUCAACUGGUUGUUGGGAAGGUUCCUUCUCAGUAACGUAGCUAACGCGUGAAGUUGACCGCCUGGGGAGUACGGCCGC
rnacentral:rRNA from 1 species